GCAAAGCUGAAACUUAAAGGAAUUGACGGAAGGGCACCACAAGGAGUGGAGCCUGCGGCUUAAUUUGACUCAACACGGGGAAGCUUACCCGGGCCGGACACCGCUAGGAUUGACAGACCGAUAGCUCUUUCUUGAUUCGGUGUAUGGUGGUGCAUUGCCGUUCUUAGUCGGUGGAGCGAUUUGUCUGGUUAAUUCCGAUAACGGACGAGACUCCAACCUGCUAAAUAGUUAGCUUGUCCUUUCGAGGCAAGCGCUUAACUUCUUAGAGGGAGAAGUGGAAAUCACACAAAGCUACCAUGAAACGGAGCAAUAACAGGUCUGUGAUGCCCUUCGAUGUCCGGGGCCGCACGCGCGCUACAAUGAGCAAGUCAACGUGUUCAUCUGGUCUGAAAAGAYUGGUUAAUCCGUUGAAUUUUGCUCGUACUUGGAAUUGGGCUUUGUAAUUAUCGCCCAUGAACGAGGAAUUCCUAGUAUGCGCGAGUCAUCAGCUCGCGUARACUACGUCCCUUGCCCUUUGUACACACCGCCCAGKCGCUACUACCGAUUGAAUGUCUUAGUGAGGACCUCCGAAUCUGGGGCCAGCAAACAUCUCACGAUGUCGGCUUGGGCUU
rnacentral:rRNA from 1 species